rnacentral:rRNA from 1 species
GACGAACGCUGGCGGCGUGCUUAACACAUGCAAGUCGAACGGAAAGGCCCUGCUUGCAGGGUACUCGAGUGGCGAACGGGUGAGUAACACGUGGGUGAUCUGCCCUGCACUUCGGGAUAAGCCUGGGAAACUGGGUCUAAUACCGGAUAGGAGCCAUUUUUAGUGUGAUGGUUGGAAAGUUUUUUCGGUGUAGGAUGAGCUCGCGGCCUAUCAGCUUGUUGGUGGGGUAAUGGCCUACCAAGGCGGCGACGGGUAGCCGGCCUGAGAGGGUGGACGGCCACAUUGGGACUGAGAUACGGCCCAGACCCCUACGGGAGGCAGCAGUGGGGAAUAUUGCACAAUGGGCGCAAGCCUGAUGCAGCGACGCCGCGUGGGGGAUGACGGCCUUCGGGUUGUAAACUCCUUUCGCUAGGGACGAAGCUUUUUGUGACGGUACCUAGAUAAGAAGUACCGGCUAACUACGUG